CUGGAGAAGUCCGGAUAUUGACGAAGUUUGAAAGAAGCUCGGAGUAAAGUCGGUCGUGACAGGAGGAAGUCUGGAAGAGAUUCGAAGAGUAGUCGAUCACUGUAGAAAAUCGGCUGAUAGUGAAGCCCAGAGAGCAUUUGGAGCAGUCCGAUAGACGACUGAAGGAGCUCAUUAUUGGAGAAGUCCGGAGGGUACGGUAGGAGUUCGGACGGUCGGAGGAGUUCAGAAAGAUGCCGCACAAGGUCGGAAGCCAGAAGAGUCCUGGGAGGGUUGGCCUCUUACGAACUUCAGCUGGGAUUAUUUUAUACCCAACAUGUAUAAUCUGAUUUUUAUGUAAGAUCUAAAAGUUUGAAUAAUUUAAUAUUGAUCUUGUGCUGGUGUAAGGUUGUCCUGAUAUGGGGUUUAUCCUCUAUAUUUAAAUGAUUAUCCUAGCACA
rnacentral:lncRNA from 1 species